rnacentral:rRNA from 1 species
UAUGUGAUCGUCUCUCGCAUAUCAAUAAGCGGAGGAAAAGAAACUAACAAGGAUUCCCCUAGUAACGGCGAGUGAAGCGGGAAGAGCUCAAAUUUGAAAUCUUAAAGGGUUUCCCUCUACGAAUUGUAGUUUAAAGAAGUGUUUUCUGUUGAGGUUUUGGUAAAAGUUCUUUGGAAUAGGACAUCAUAGAGGGUGAGAAUCCCGUAUUUGACCUUUACUUUCAACUUUGUGAUACACUUUCAAAGAGUCGGAUUGUUUGGGAAUGCAGUCCAAAAUGGGUGGUAAAUUUCAUCUAAAGCUAAAUAUUGGCGAGAGACCGAUAGCGAACAAGUACCGUGAGGGAAAGAUGAAAAGAACUUUGAAAAGAGAGUUAAACAGUACGUGAAAUUGUCAAAAGGGAAGCGUUUGACACCAGUGUUGUUUUUCUGAAAAUCAAUUAAAGAACUGUUUAUGCUAAGUUGUUUAGACUUUAUCAGCUAACUGUUUAGUUUUGAGCUUUUCUUUAAUGCACUUUUCAGUUAACAAGUCAACAUCAAUUUCUUUUGCUGUAAAAAAGCUUGAGGAAGGUGGCUUGAGAUUCGUCUUAAGUGUUUAUAGCCUCUUGCCUAUGCAGUCGGAGAGAUUGAGGUCUGCAGCGUAGAUCCUUCGGGGCUAAAUGCAUUUGUGCUAAGUUAUAGCAUUUUAUAGACAACUUGUUGACUAUGAUUUGUCUUGUAGCUUACUCGCUUAUGUUAUUUUACCUACGCUUAGGAUGUUGACUGAUAUGUAGUCGUA